GUAGGUGGCAAGCGUUGUCCGGAAUUAUUGGGCGUAAAGCGCGCGCAGGCGGUUCUUUAAGUCUGAUGUGAAAGCCCGCGGCUCAACCGUGGAGGGUCAUUGGAAACUGGAGAACUUGAGUACAGAAGAGGAAAGCGGAAUUCCACGUGUAGCGGUGAAAUGCGUAGAGAUGUGGAGGAACACCAGUGGCGAAGGCGGCUUUCUGGUCUGUAACUGACGCUGAGGCGCGAAAGCGUGGGGAGCAAACAGGAUUAGAUACCCUGGUAGUCCACGCCGUAAACGAUGAGUGCUAAGUGUUAGGGGGUUUUCCGCCCCCCUUAGUGCUGCAGCUAACGCAUUAAGCACUCCGCCCCGGGGAGUACGGCCGCAAGGCUG
rnacentral:rRNA from 1 species